ACAGGUGUCUGUUUAUCAGACUUAAUAAAGAAUCCAGUGAAAAGCUGGAACGGUCCCGCCACUGUAAGAUUGAGUGAUGCACAUAUAUGUCACUGGGAGUAAUCCUGGGAAGGCGUGCAAAGCGAUGAAGUCGAGUCAGGAGAAUUGCCUGUUU
rnacentral:ncRNA from 1 species